rnacentral:lncRNA from 1 species
GCCGAUGGAAGAAUGGGUGUGUGGGGCCCGUCUCCGAAAGCCUGGCCCCAUCUGAGGUAAGGUACCAUCCCCCUUGCAGCAUUAAAUGCCUUUUCGCAGGGGUCAGAAAAAGGGAGAUGGGAGGAGGAUUUUGGCACCUUUGGGUUUCGCACUCAGACGUUGGUGGGCUCCCACGUCCACCCAGUGGGCUGUACAUGCACUAGAUGCUUUGUUCUUUUCUUUUAGUCGUAGACCCUGAUCACAAGGCCUUGCUUGGUGGCCUACAAGGGCCGGCUGCGUUGCAUGAGAUGCUAUUGUUUGAUUCAAAGUUUGGGGAAGGGAUACAAAAGCUGUACUUUGCCUGUGGAUGCCU